rnacentral:rRNA from 1 species
UUNAAAGUCUAGCCUGCCCAAUGAUUAUAAAAUUUAAUGGCCGCGGUAUUUUGACCGUGCUAAGGUAGCAUAAUAAUUAGUUUUUUAAUUGAGAACUGGAAUGAAUGGUUGGACAAGGAAAAUACUGUCUCAAGUUUAAUUUAAUUAGAAUUUUAUUUUUAAGUAAAAAAGCUUAAAUAUUUUUAAAAGACGAGAAGACCCUAUAGAGUUUUAUAUUAUGAAUUAUAGUUAAUUUAAGGAAUUAUUAUUUUUAUAUAAUUUAUAGUAUUUUAUUGGGGUGAUAGAAAAAUUAAAAUAACUUUUUUUAAAUUAUACCAUUAAUUUAUGAAUAAGUGAUCCAUUAUUAAUGAUUAUAAGAUUAAAUUACCUUAGGGAUAACAGCGUAAUUUUUUUUAAGAGUUCAUAUCGAAAGAAAAGAUUGCGACCUCGAUGUUGGAUUAAAA